rnacentral:rRNA from 1 species
GGUGUAGGUGGCUUUGUAAGUCAGAUGUGAAAGCCCAGGGCUUAACCCUGGAAGUGCAUUUGAUACUGCGAAGCUUGAGUGCCGGAGAGGUUAUUGGAAUUCCUGGUGUAGUGGUGAAAUACGUAGAUAUCAGGAGGAAUACCAGAGGCGAAGGCGGAUAACUGGCCGGACACUGACACUCAGACCCGAAAGCGUGGGGAUCAAACA